rnacentral:rRNA from 1 species
AGUGAACGCUGGCGGUAGGCCUAACACAUGCAAGUCGAACGGCAGCACAGUAAGAGCUUGCUCUUACGGGUGGCGAGUGGCGGACGGGUGAGGAAUACAUCGGAAUCUACUUUUUCGUGGGGGAUAACGUAGGGAAACUUACGCUAAUACCGCAUACGACCUACGGGUGAAAGCAGGGGAUCUUCGGACCUUGCGCGAUUGAAUGAGCCGAUGUCGGAUUAGCUAGUUGGCGGGGUAAAGGCCCACCAAGGCGACGAUCCGUAGCUGGUCUGAGAGGAUGAUCAGCCACACUGGAACUGAGACACGGUCCAGACUCCUACGGGAGGCAGCAGUGGGGAAUAUUGGACAAUGGGCGCAAGCCUGAUCCAGCCAUCCCGCGUGGGUGAAGAAGGCCUUCGGGUUGUACAGCCCUUUUGUUGGGAAAGAAAAGCAGCAGGUUAAUACCCCGCUGUUCUGACGGUGCCCAAAGAAUAAGCACCGGCUAACUUCGUG